GAUGUCAAAAGUAGUUCUGUUACUCGAGUUUCUUUUGAUUUGUGGUUUUGAUUUUUGUUCAAUAAGUAAAUCGUUUGUUCGAGAAUAUAUUUAUCUAAUGAUUAAUACAAAUUCUAAAAAAUAUGAAUAUUCCGAAGAAGAGGUUGAGAUUUAAUCAGGAUGAUAAAACUAUUUUACUAAGGGAAGUGCUCUCCAUUAAUAGUUUUGAGGACCCUGAAAGAUGGAUUUUAAUUCAGGAAAUAAUAAAAGAAAAAACUGGGACACUUUUUAGUCUCAGAGCUCUCAAGGAACAUCUAGAACUGCUGAUGAACCAAUUUAUUGUUUUGGAUGACCAAAAUAAAAACAAAACUGGGAUUGAAGAACCUUAUAAUGAAUAUAAUCACAUGCAAAUUAAAGAUUUAGCAAGAGAUUUUAAAACAGAUAAAGUAUUACCAGGACAAGGAUCGUCAAAGUUAUACAUAAAAGACUCCAUGAAAAAGGGAAAGCAACACAGAUUGAAUUGCUCGAAUUAAUUUAAAAAAAACCCACACAGAUACACCUGAAACUGAACCCCUAUUUCAACAAAAAUAGAAUAAUCUUAUAGAAGAAUCUGAAGUGGCCAUGGUACUAGAAGAGCAACAAUAACCGCAUCAAUCCAAAGUUGUAAUACCUCAAACCGUACCAACACAAAAUGUAUUGAAUAGAGAAGUUAAAUUUGACUUGAUAUGGAUAAAAGAAGACUUGAAUUAAAAGCCACAAAUGUUAAAAUGGAACAAGAAGACAAAAGAAAGUUGUAUGAAAUUACUGAAAAUUACCAUAAAUCUUUGAAUAUGUUACUGGACAAAGUGUAAUUGUGUAGUUGUAGUGGCGUUAUUUUUACCAUACCUGGAAUUUUAUUAGAAAGAAAAUAUUCUGA